GGUCAGUGAUGUCAAGUAAAAGGUCUGAAUCUCAGCUCCUCCCCCUCAACCGCCAUUUUGGCUCGCAGCAGCCCCUGCUCUCUGCUCCCAUCAUGCUCUAGUGAUGCUGUGGUGGUCCCGGGAGCUGCUGACAGACAGGAAGUGACGUCACAGUGAGGCUGAACAGAUUCCACAGCCUCAGUGUGAUGUCUGACAUCCAACAGAACCAAUCGGCACGGAGCUUCAGGCCGCAGGGGGCGGGGCUUGGCAAAUGAUUUCACGCUUGUGCUGAGACC